rnacentral:rRNA from 1 species
GACGAACGCUGGCGGCGUGCUUAACACAUGCAAGUCGAACGGAAAGGCCCUGCUUUUGUGGGGUGCUCGAGUGGCGAACGGGUGAGUAACACGUGAGUAACCUGCCCUUGACUUUGGGAUAACUUCAGGAAACUGGGGCUAAUACCGGAUAGGAGCUCCUGCUGCAUGGUGGGGGUUGGAAAGUUUCGGCGGUUGGGGAUGGACUCGCGGCUUAUCAGCUUGUUGGUGGGGUAGUGGCUUACCAAGUCUUUGACGGGUAGCCGGCCUGGGAGGGUGACCGGCCACAUUGGGACUGAGGUACGGCCCAGACGCCUACGGGAGGCAGAAGUGGGGAAUAUUGCGCAAUGGGCGGAAGCCUGAUGCAGCAACGCCGCGUGCGGGAUGACGGCCUUCGGGUUGUAAACCGCUUUCGCCUGUGACGAAGCGUGAGUGACGGUAAUGGGUAAAGAAGCACCGGCUAACUACGUG